CAGCCAUUCCGGUCUGACUUUCCAACAACUUCCCCUUCGCGCCGGCUUCACUUCCUCACUGCGAGGCACCGGUGCGGGUUCAGGCAGGAUACUGAGGAGCAAAGAGCUGUGCUCAGAGCCUGUUCUGCAGUGCAGGGGUGUGCAGCUGGAGAUACCAGGAUGAAAACAGGACCAGGGUCUCCACAG